rnacentral:sRNA from 1 species
AGCAGCCGCGGUAAUUCCAGCUCCAAUAGCGUAUAUUAAAGUUGUUGCAGUUAAAAAGCUCGUAGUUGAAUUUCGGGAUUGACGUGAUGGUCGUGCCUUACGGGGUAUGAACUGUUGCAGUCAAUUUCUCACCUUCUGGAGAAAUAUGAUGUCCUUAAUUGGGUGUCAUAUGGAACCAGAACUUUUACCUUGAAAAAAUUAGAGUGUUUAAAGCAGGCUUAUUGCUCGAAUACAUUAGCAUGGAAUAAUAAAAUAGGACGGCAUGGUUCUAUUUUGUUGGUUUCUAGGAUCACCGUAAUGAUUAAUAGGGAUAGUUGGGGGCAUUAGUAUUCAAUUGUCAGAGGUGAAAUUCUUGGAUUUAUUGAAGACUAACUACUGCGAAAGCAUUUGCCAAGGAUGUUUUCAUUAAUCAAGAACGAAAGUUAGGGGAUCGAAGACGAUCAGAUACCGUCGUAGUCUUAACCAUAAACUAUGCCGACUAGGAAUCAGACGAUGUUAAUUUUUAAUGACUCGUUUGG